UUUAGUGCAGAGGAGAAACAUGGCUGCUUCAGGAUUUCAACUCACAACCUUAAUAUCAGAAGUCCAGCAUCUUAAGCACUGAGCUUUCACUACCCUGAAGAGGAUGUUGAAACAGAACAGAAAGGAAGCUUUUUCAUGCAUCACGUCUAAACCAUACCUCACUUCUUCUAACAAUUGUUACACUAAAAUGCUGUCCUGCUUCAUUCCAGCACUGGCUCUCUUGCGAAUGUGACUGGUUGAAUGUCUUUAAAAUGAAGACAAAUAGGCAUGCAUAAAUAAUGGGUGCAUUUUAAAUCUGAAGACACGCCCCCUGCUGUGGAGUUGCGCUUUGACAUUGAGCACACCUGUGCCACGUGAUUAUGUCGGCGUGUUUGUGGCUUUAUAAAAAGCACAGUUGAGUGGGACGCUUUGAUUCCUUUCUUAUCUGUAGGUUGGGUGGCUAGAAAAGGUAUUUAUUCUUCUACUGUCCUGGUGCUUUCCCCUGGUGCGGCCAAAGAGCGCUAGCUGCUGUUUCCUGCUGUUUAGCUGCUGUUUUGUAUAUGUUUUGUAUAUGCUUGUACACACUGAUUCAUAAACCCUGAAUUAGCUUGUUGGGUUACAGGUUGGACCAAGUGGACGUCGCAGCUGUAAACCGCUGGAUUACUGAGUGUUUUAAAAGAUUAUCCUGCGCAGCGGUUCUGUGCUAUGUGUGAGUAAGGACUUGGAUAUGUAUCUCCUGUGCAGGUGUAUUACAUUAACACGCUUGGUAUUUUUGCUCCGUGAGCCGCUUGGACGCUUUUUAAAUAUUAAUCGGGAGUUAAUUGUUUUUCUCUUUGUAACAUGUGUAUAAGUGUAAGUACUAUUUCCACAUGUAACUAUCUGAGCUGUGAUUUUUGAGACUUAAACAGAAGGGGAGUUUGUUUGUGUGUUUCGGGUUUAUUUUUGGUUUAUUCUUGUUUUUUAAGAAUUAUGCACUGAUUUGCGGUGUGCUCUGUCCCUUCUGUUACAGAGAGGAUGUAAUCUAGUCUCUCUGGUUGUGGGUAAAUAACUGGUAAGCUGUAAAUGGUAUUUUAAAAUAUUUAAGCAUUCUUUUGUUUAAUAAAUUUGUACUAUUUGUGUAAA